GUCCACAGGUUAGUGGUAGAACGUCUGCUUUUCAUGCAUAAGGUUCCUGGUUCAACCACCGGUGUCUCCAGGUAGUGAUG